rnacentral:rRNA from 1 species
CGCGUAGGUGGUUCUGUAUGUCUAUCGUGAAAGCGUACGGCUCAACCGUAUUUUGUCGCUAGAAACUGCAGGACUUGAGGCUGGGAGGGGCUGGUGGAAUUCCCUGUGUAGCGGUGAAAUGCGUAGAGAUGGGGGAGAACACUCGUGGCGAAGGCGGCCAGCUAGACCAGUUCUGCACUGAGGCGCGACAGCGUGGGGAGCAACA